GCCAACUUUAUCAUGUUGUUAAAUCUUAACUAAAUUUAAUCAAAUUGAUAGGAUUAGUUUCAUCAAGAUUUGGUCCCGUGAAAAGCACAUAGUUUUACGCACUAAUAAAAUUACAGCCGUUGAUAUCAAAUUUGACGGUUUAGAUUACACAUCAAUUUAACACAAUUGAAUGAUUUGAGCUGUUAAUUUAAAUUGGACGGUCCUAAUCUGUUACAUCGUCCGGCUGUAAUAGCAGAAAAUCCAAAUCCCCAUCUUGUACCUAUUCAAACCAUCUUGUACCUAUUCAAACCAUCAUUUUCAUAUUAGAAAAUCUUACUGUCCAUCUUGUACCUAUUCAAACCAUCAUUUUCGAUUCUAAUUUAAAGUCAAUAUUUGCAUUUUUUUUGACUUGUUUUUACAAUCAACAUUGCGACUUUAAGCAGACAAUCAUGAAGACUAAUGCCAAAACAAAUAAAACAUAAAUAAAAAAAAUAAAAAUGUAACGAGCUAGAAGAAAUGCGAAAAAAAUAUCAAUGUGUAUGAAGAGACAAUGUUGUGAUUCUGAAAUAGUGAUAUCAUAUCUAAUUCUACUUCUGAGCUUAUUAAUUAAGGUAACAAAUCCUACAAAAUUAAAAAAAAAUCAAUUUAUUAAACAAUCUAUUGAAAUUAGAAUGUUUUUGUAUGACAUUUCUUUCCGAAUAGACUUGCUACAAAGGAUAAUCUGCGCAAAAGGAAUGUCUUUGAGGCCACUUUUGUGUAUUGUGCGGCUUUGCGUGGUAAGGAGGAUGAAAGGGACCAUCUGUUUUUUCAAUGCGACCACUACGGGCGGCUUUGGCUCUUGAUCUCUCAUUGGUUUGGUAUCGUCACGGUUUUACAUGGUAAUUUACACCCACAUGCUAACCAAUUUUGUCCUCUUGGAGGUUUCUCAAAGAACUCUAGGACGGGCUUUACUGCUAUAUGGAUUUCGACAUUAUUUGUUAUUUGGAAAGAUCGUAACAGGAGAAUAUUUCAAAAUCAAAUUGAUCAUCUUGAUGCUCUUCUUGGGAGGGUUAAACUUCAAAUGUAUUGGUGGUUGAAAGCGAAUUACAUCAUGUUCGACUUUGACUACCUCCAUUGGAAGAAAAACCCCUUAGAUUGUUUACAGACUGUUUUGUAAUGUCUGUUUUUGAAUUUUGGGUUGUUUAUAACCUGUAAGUAUUGUAAUUAACACUUUCCAGCUCCCUUAGGCAUGCCUUGUGCUUUAGGGACUGCUUAUUUAUUUAAUAUAUUUCGUUUAGUUUCUUAAAAAAAAUGUUUUUGAAUAUGUUAAUACUUUUUUAAAAUCACAAAACUUCUUGAUUAAAUACCCGAAAACUUAUUAAGAUUAAGUAAGGGUUUUAAUUGAGUGACUUUUUUUAUUAGAAAAAGUCUUUUAAAUCCUAAUUGAAUACACCCAUAAACCCCUAAAGCAUAUCACUUACUAUUUCAUCAAAAUACUCUUAGAGUGCGUUUGUUUCAAGUUAUCUUUGUAGACUCUUGAGAAUAAAAUGAUCGAAUUAUACAUGCCUAUUUUUGUUAUAAGUUUACUAAAUUUUAUUUCAGGAUAUAAAAUGUUCAUGAGAAUAGAAAAUAAAUUUAAAGAAAAAUGUUAGAAUAAAGUUCCCAUGAAAACGAGAAUAAAUUCUGAAGUAGAUAUAGAAGUCACAAGAAAGGGAGUUUGAAUUAUGACCCUUUUUAAAUUUUAAUCUUGUACUUAAAAAAUACUUCUCAAGUUGAAACUUGGAAGAGCAAAGUUAAAACAUACUUCAUAAUGUUCUGAAGUAUUAGUGUAAAACAAAAUAUCCAAGAUAAAUAAUUUUGUGAGUUCAUCCAACGUGGGCUAGUCCACUCCUCACAAUGUGAGAGUUUUCCACUACGAUGCUUGAGACAACAUUCUCAACUCCUGCACCUUACAACUUUGUUCCCUUGGAACAAUUACAACCUGUAUUCUCUAAGCCUCAGCAUACUCACAACUUUCUUUGCUAAGUCACAAAAGACUUUACACUUUUCUAUUCAACUAACACUUUAAUACCCUUAAAGCUAGAUGAGAUUUUCUCUUGCAAAUGAUUUGGAACUUUGACUGAAUUUGGGCAAGAAGAAGAAGAGGAGAAUAUUAUCUUUAUGACGAUAAGAGAAGACUGUUGCACAUUCUUUAAGAUUUUAGGAAUCUUUAGAGUUGAUUUGCUGCUAUGAAGCUUUAAACACUUUUAAUAAGUUGUUUAAGUAUGCUUGUAAGUUGCGUGCUUCAAUGCUGAGUCUUCUGCCCCUUUUAUAGUUUAUUGACCUCAUGUAGUUAUUAGGAUGUGUCCAAUAGUCUUGUGCCACUUGUAUUGGUACUUAGCAACAUUUGCUUAAAAAACUUGAUCAACAUUCAUAACUUUAGAAUGUUCAAGGUUCAUUAUGUAUGAAUGUUAGCUGAAUUUCUGGGUUUCUUCAUGGGCCUUGUUCUUUGUGUGAACUUCAGAAUGUUCUUGGACUCAUGUAUUUGCAGAUCUGUCUUGGAACUUGUGCAGGAGAGAGGAAAGUGGGAUUGUCACUUCAUUCCCAUGCUUUAGGGGAUUUCACUGGUCUUUUACUAUACCUGCUCCGAUACGUGUCUAACUCUGAUUGAACGAGACUUGAGUUAGCUUUUUGCUUUUGCUCUUACUUUUGUACCAAUUGUACUGUUCUGUCAGAUAGAGCAUGUGCUGAAAAUGAACCUUCUGAACUUCAGAAUGUUCAUCUAUUUCACUUAGGAUGAUUUGUAAGAUUUCUAUUUGAUGUAAUCAAAUCUUAACAGUAAAACAUCAAUGAAGUGCAGUGUGUAUAACAUCUAGGAUGAUAUUCUUAGAGGAAUAUUCCUAAUGUUUUGUACUUCAAUUGUUCAUAAGUCUUUAAUGAACAAUGAAUAUGCCUUUUGACUUUUAUCAAAAUAGAUGUCUUUAACCCUUGAUUGAUCUAAGUUAUAAUAAUUUUUUGGACUUUUAUUUAUGUCACGUGAGCCUUGAAUGUUCUUUAUAAUGUCCAUAUAUUUCUGGGCUUGAUAUUGAUAACUAUAAGAACAACCUUUUGAACUAUCUUGAACCUUCUGAACUAUGUCCAACCUUUUGAACUCUGUUCAACCUUAUGAACUUUAACUUGGUUCAUAAGUCUUAAUGUUCUUUGAUUGCUUGCUUCUUGGUUUGAUUUAUACUAUGUUUCUGUCUUAGUUAAUCAAUCAAGAACACAUAUUAAAUACCAAUAAACUAAUCAAAGUCCAUUAAUCUUUUAAUCAUCAAAGUUUGUUAUCUUUAAAAUCAAUCAGGGAUGUUUGCCAUAACAAAUUAAUUAGGGAUUUUGCCUCAACUACCUAUUAUAAUCUUUAUUUUUAAGGUUCAUGAGAAUAUUAUAAUGUUACCCAAUCAUCUUUUUAUCUAAAUACCUUUGAAUAAAAUUCACAUAUUUAUAAUCCAAGGAAUGUUAUUCCUAAUAAUAAACUUGGUAAACUUGAAACAAACACACCGUUAGGUCAAUACAGGAGAUCAUAUAUUUGUCAAAUCAGGGUAAUAGCUGCUGUAGUCUCUGAACGUGUAACAGUAACCAAAAUAAUCCUCUCAAUGCUCACAUUAACACUUUUUAUAUAGAGAUUUUGUACGACAGUAAAUACUUAUAAUGAUCGAUAUGAUAAUAACUGAGUACAUUAAGGGAUUGAUAUGAUAAUAUUAGCGAGACAUUUUAACAGAAGAGACCAUUUUGACUAAUAUAGUGCACAAUCAAAAACUAUUUUAAAAUUUUGAUACAUUAUUAUAACUACUCCAUCCGUCCCAUAAUAAGUGAGCCAUUUACAAAAAGAAAUAUUAUUCCAAUUUUUUUUUGAUCCACUUUACUUUUCAAUACUAUAUUAGGGGAUCUUGUUAACGAGUGCCCCCGAAACACUCUUUAAACAUCUUAAAUUUAGUAUUUUUCUUUUAAAAAGUCAAUUAUUAUAAUUUCUAAUACAUUCAGUACACAACUUUUCAUUUAAAAAUUUACCAUUUAAAGUGAUUAAAGAGUGCCCGGAGCACUCGUUAACAUUCCCCAAAAAUAAAACCCACCGAGGAAGUACUUGUUUCACAUACAUAUAGUCAAAUUAUAUUAUAGGAAUCUUAUAGUGUGUUUGGAAGGGGAAAUGUUUUGAGGGAAUGUAAUGUUUUGAGGGAAUUCAACUACUUUGAGGUGAAUUCUAUUGUUUGAAUCCACCUCACAAUAAUUGAAUUCCCUCAAAACAUUACAUUACCUCAAAAUAUUCCUCCAUCCAAACACACUCUUAAGAACCAGAGACACAUAGUAAAUUCAUUCACUUGUGUGGUGCACGCGUGUAGUAACAAGUACAAAGUUCGUGCUGGUUCAUUCUUCUGAUUCAUCAAACCCUAAUUUCACAAUUCAAAGUUCUUGCUGCAUUCUUCUCACACAAGGUGAAUCUAUACUAUUCUCUUAAUUAAGAUUUUAUGAUUCUUGAUUUAGCACAAGCACUUAUUAUGGUAAACACUUAUGUAUAAGUUUACAUAAGAUAUUUUUAUAACAAAAGAUAAAAUGUUUUUGUAUAUGCUAAGGGACAAUGCAUAUUAUAUGCAUGGGCCGGGGUUCCAACCCCGAAAACCCCACUUAUUCACUUUAAGGUGAAUUUCUCUAGCCACUAUGCUACUUGACCAAAUAAAAAAGUUGUUUUCAUAAGCUAUAUUGUAGAACUUAUGAAAUUAAGUUGAAAAAAGCUUAUCAAAAGUGUCAUAAGCUGUUUUCACAAGAAGAUAAACUUAAAUAAGCCAAUUCAAACAUGCGUUAUAACUAUUAUGUAAUUUGUUAUCAAGUUUUAAUUUUUGGUAUGAAAACAUGAAUCAUAGCUAUAGUUUUCUUGAUUAGUAAUGUGAACUUUCUCACUGUUGUAAAACAAAUAGGGAAAAAUUGGUAGAUUUUGAGUAAGAUUUCAUGUUAGAUACCUUGGAGAUAAUUUAUUUGAUUUCCUUUGCACUCACCUCCAAUUAUUGUCAAGUUAUAGGAAAUAUGUCUGCUGAAGGGGAUGUUCAUGUUCGUGUUCCUCAUGAAGUACUUUCGCAUGUCAACCAUGAACCCUAAUCUCAUCUUUGUUUAAACCAAGAUAAUUGCCCUCCCGACACGAAAAACAUUGCUGUUUUGUGGAACAAUUAAUUGGUUGAUAACCGCAAACGAACAUUAAGAAAUGUAAAUAAAACAGCAAGAGAAGUUGCAGAGUUAGAAGAUGAGUUAGCAUCCUCAAAUUAUGUUUGCUCGGUAAUCGUUUUGCUGCAGCAUAAUGUAUUGUUUGGUUUGAUGGUACCUCAAGGAGGCAAAAGAAUGCGUAUGCUUUGGCAAAAAGUGC
rnacentral:lncRNA from 1 species